UACGUAGGUGGCAAGCGUUGUCCGGAUUUACUGGGCGUAAAGAGCGCGCAGGCGGUCGUUCAAGUCGCGUGUGAAAGCCCCCGGCUCAACUGGGGAGGGUCACGCGAUACUGAUCGACUCGAAGGCAGGAGAGGGAAGUGGAAUUCCCGGUGUAGUGGUGAAAUGCGUAGAUAUCGGGAGGAACACCAGUGGCGAAGGCGACUUCCUGGCCUGUUCUUGACGCUGAUACGCGAAAGCGUGGGUAGCAAACAGG
rnacentral:rRNA from 1 species